UUCAGCAGCAUAUACAAGUAUACUAAAAUGGGAACAAUACAGAGAAGAUUAGCAUGGCCCCUGGGCAAGGAUGACAUGCAAAUUCGUGAAGCAUUCCAUAUGUGU